CCUACGGGAUGCAGCAGUGGGGAAUAUUGGACAAUGGGGGGAACCCUGAUCCAGCGACGCCGCGCGAGUGAAGAAGUAUUUCGGUAUGUAAAGCUCUAUCAGCAGGGAAGAAAGAAAUGACGGUACCUGACUAAGAAGCCCCGGCUAACUACGUGCCAGCAGCCGCGGUCAUACGUAGGGGGCAAGCGUUAUCCGGAUUUACUGGGUGUAAAGGGAGCGUAGACGGCAGUGCAAGUCUGGAGUGAAAGGCGGGGGCUCAACCCCCGGACUGCUCUGGAAACUGUACGGCUGGAGUGCAGGAGAGGUAAGUGGAAUUCCUAGUGUAGCGGUGAAAUGCGUAGAUAGUAGGAGGAACACCAGUGGCGAAGGCGGCUUACUGGACUGUAACUGACGUUGAGGCUCGAAAGCGUGGGGAGCAAACAGGAUUAGAUACCCGUGUAGUC
rnacentral:rRNA from 1 species